rnacentral:rRNA from 1 species
AUUGAACGCUGGCGGCAGGCCUAACACAUGCAAGUCGAGCGGUAGAGAGGUGCUUGCAUCUCUUGAGAGCGGCGGACGGGUGAGUAAUGCCUAGGAAUCUGCCUAGUGGUGGGGGAUAACGUUCGGAAACGGACGCUAAUACCGCAUACGUCCUACGGGAGAAAGCGGGGGAUCUUCGGACCUCGCGCCAUUAGAUGAGCCUAGGUCGGAUUAGCUAGUUGGUGAGGUAAUGGCUCACCAAGGCGACGAUCCGUAACUGGUCUGAGAGGAUGAUCAGUCACACUGGAACUGAGACACGGUCCAGACUCCUACGGGAGGCAGCAGUGGGAAUAUUGGACAAUGGGCGAAAGCCUGAUCCAGCCAUGCCGCGUGUGUGAAGAAGGUCUUCGGAUUGUAAAGCACUUUAAGUUGGGAGGAAGGGUAGUAACCUAAUACGUUUGCGUACUUUGACGUUACCGACAGAAUAAGCACCGGCUAACUUCGU